GUGCUGCAUGGCUGUCGUCAGCUCGUGCCGUGAGGUGUUGGGUUAAGUCCCGCAACGAGCGUAACCCUUGUUUUUAGUUGCCUUUCGAGGAUAUUUAGAAAGACUGCCGAUUAUAAAUCGGAGGAAGGUAAGGACGACGUCAAGUCAUCAUGCCCCUUACACUCUGGGCUACACACGUGCUACAUUGGGUAGAACAAUAAGUUGCUAAGUUGCGAAACCAAGCGAAUCUUCAAAUCUACUCUAAGUUCGGAUUGUAGGCUGCAACUCGCCUACAUAAAGAUGGAAUCGCUAGUAAUCGCUGGUCAGCUACACAGCGGUGAAUCCGUUCCCGGGCCUUGUACACACCGCCCGUCACACCAUGGAAGCUGGUCACACCCAAAGUCGUUAUUCUAACCGUUUGGAGGAAGGCGCCUAAGGUAGGAUUGGUGACUGGGGUGAAGUCGUAACAAGGUAGCCGUACCGGAAG
rnacentral:rRNA from 1 species